rnacentral:rRNA from 1 species
CACGCUGUAAACUAAUGCGCGUUAGGUGUAUCGGUGACCACGAGUUACCGGGUGCCGAAGGGAAACCGUGAAACGUGCCGCCUGGGAAGUACGGUCGCAAGGCUGAAACUUAAAGGAAUUGGCGGGGGGAGGCACCACAACAGGUGAAGCCUGCGGUUUAAUUGGACUCAACGCCGGGAAGCUCACCGGAUAGGACAGCAGAAUGAUAGCCGGGCUGAAGACCCUGCAUGACUAGCUGAGAGGAGGUGCAUGGCGUAGUCGUGU